rnacentral:rRNA from 1 species
GACGAACGCUGGCGGCGUGCCUAAUACAUGCAAGUAGAACGCUGAAGGAGGAGCUUGCUUCUCUGGAUGAGUUGCGAGCGGGUGAGUAACGCGUAGGUAACCUGCCUGGUAGCGGGGGAUAACUAUUGGAAACGAUAGCUAAUACCGCAUAAGAGUAGAUGUUGCAUGACAUUUGCUUAAAAGGUGCAAUUGCAUCACUACCAGAUGGACCUGCGUUGUAUUAGCUAGUUGGUGGGGUAACGGCUCACCAAGGCGACGAUACAUAGCCGACCUGAGAGGGUGAUCGGCCACACUGGGACUGAGACACGGCCCAGACUCCUACGGGAGGCAGCAGUAGGGAAUCUUCGGCAAUGGACGGAAGUCUGACCGAGCAACGCCGCGUGAGUGAAGAAGGUUUUCGGAUCGUAAAGCUCUGUUGUAAGAGAAGAACGAGUGUGAGAGUGGAAAGUUCACACUG